CUUUCCUAUUGGUCGAAAAAAGUACCGUGUCGACCAAUCAAAAAAUUAUAUGGCAACAUGGCAUCUAGUUGUUAAGAAACGUGGGGAAGUUUUAGGAGUGACGGCGGUGUUUUGAGAUGUGAGAGAUUUGCGACGUUUAGCGCAAAUCUUGUGUAGUUAGUGUGUAGUGUAGUCAAUAGUUUUGUUGUGUGUGAGAACAAUGAGGCGACUGCUGAAUGUUACAGGUGUUACAGGAGUGAUACAUCUCCUGUUGUCAGGCCUGCAGGUAUCAGGCUGUUGUUCUCACCGCCACGCGACGACGGCUGUCCCAAUUCAAAGUGUACUUCAAAUGCAUACUCCAAAUGCGCCAUCGAUUUCCCCAAAUAUCAAGCGUGGUCCGGUGCACGCUUCGUGGUCCCAUAUAUCCCACAAUCCAUAGCGCGGCGGUGGGUGUGGAUAAUUUUGCCGCAAAAUACGGCAGAAGGGAGCGGCCGAAGAGUGAACUGUCAAAAUGGACGAAGGACGUGCCAGUGGCCCUGGGACCUCAGGUGGUGGGUCGUUUUCACACUUUCUUUUGUACAGCACCGGGUGGGCUGCAGUGAUUUUCGUUUUGUGUGAUUUUCUUUUGGGUCCACGGCUGCUGGCACAGGGCAGCGCCCAUCUUCAGAGAGGAGUUUGGUGUUUGACCAGAGUGCUCUCUCUGCUGCAGCAUAUUAUUAAACCAAAUCAAAAGAACGUCUUGAUGCACGCUCAAUCAUCCAGAUCAAGAAUGCCCAUCAUGAGGAGGAAGAAAGCUGGAUGCCAGAAUCAGGGAAGCCCUGAAGGAUGUUAGUCGGCUAAAAGAGGUACAGAAGGGCAUCAUGAGAUACGGGUCCUGGAUGAUGUGACAGGUGAGACCUGGAGACUUGGAACCGCCCCUGGUGGGCGGAGCUGGUCUGUGCUCCUUUCAUAAGCGCAGGUGUGGGCAAUUAGGUAUUCCUCAGCAAACCUGAAGCUGCAAGUGUGUGGUCCAAGUUGGGUAAGUUGGUGUUACUUUCUGUCUAUGAAAGUCUGAUAUGGGUCCUCCCCUAAACUUCUGUUAGAACGGUAGGUACACAAAAAUGUACCACUUGAGCUCUGGCUGUUGGCAGAGGUUUAUAGUUAUGUGCACCCUUGUAGGUGGGAAACAUUGCUCCCGUGAGAACGGUAUAGUGGACUUCAUCGCCACUGACCCACAUUUAUUAGGGUGUGACACGAACUUGUGGACAGAGUACCGAGCUGCUGCUUUGCCAAGUGGAUUUCUGGCUGCGGGCAAAGGACCCGACACAUCAGUGUGUUUUAAACUGGUGUAAUUCGACCGACUGACUGCUGCGGCUGUCGAUUAUUGUUUUGUUUUAAUUUUUUCUGUAUCAGUAGGCACCACAGAUAUUGAUUCUUUUAGUAUUUUAACCCCUUUUUUUUAUAGAUAUAUAUUGUCGCGAACGGUGAAGGCGCUGCAGGGAAAACGAAUCCUUUUUUUGUCUCGCCGCUUUUGCAUGCACAGCGGUGGCCUGAGUGAGGACGGCACUGAAGAGUUGCCUUUUCUAUAGUGUUUUGCCCAUUUGGGGGUUAUGUGUGAAUUGCCGUCCCUUUUUAACCUGUGUGCUAUGUUGAUUUGUUCUUAAACGGUUCCCCGCAGCGCUUAUCCUGUCUCACGGGCAAUCAUACAGUUUUAUCGUUUUUAAACAAGGUAAAAUUUUUAAUUGUUUUUAAGUGCCGCUGUUACAUUGUUUUAUUUUGUGUUAAAAAUUAAAUUCUUUUUAACUGACUGUGCGCCUACGGCUCUGUCCUAUUUUAAAUAGGUACCUACCACGGGUCACAGAUGUAACAAAACAGAAUCAAAAAAAGUCAGCAGCAGAGGUCAAACGAUUGAAUGACUUGGUCUCCAAAGUCUCAUUCAGAUGUAUUUUUAGCUUCAAGCAAGAGUAGAACAUCUGGGUGCGGGGCCCCGUGUUCCAGAUUAACUGGCGUUGGUGAAACAGAUGUGUGGUAGACUUGCUUUUCAGGAGCUGCUACCGACAAAACGGCAAAUAAACACCAAAUAUUUCAUCUUUAAUAUUUGUGAGGUUACCUCAAACACACUCCACCAGUCUUGUUGCUCUUGUUUACCUGGCGAUAUUCUCAUGCAGGAGGCGAUCGCGAAAACAGCAAACAAUUAAUACCAUGCCGAUGCUGUUCACAGGACAGCAAGAGUAAACGAUCAGGAGAAUCUUGUCGUCGUUACCGUUCCCCUCGUACGUGUUAUUACUCAGAUUUCAGUGUUUUCGCUUCGCAACUAAAGCGUGCAGUUUACUUUGUGUGCACUCAAAUGGAGUCGAGUCAACUAGCUCCACCUGUGGCCAAGUGCCAUAGCCUACAGCCAGAUUAACUUGUGACACACAUCUGCACCUGGCUCUAUCGCCACAUUUGAAUUCGUUUCAUGCACAAUACAUUUGGAACUUUCUAUUUUUUUUUAUUUUUUUUUUCUGUUUUUGUGUCUUGCAAAUAAACCUUUAAAAUAAAUGAAAUGGUAUUAUGUAUUCAUUUUUGGCCUACAUCAGUAAGA
ensembl:lncRNA